GUUUCUUGGGAAAAAUCCUACUCCUCACUGGGAAAUUUACAUACAGAUCAUAAUGAGGAUGAUUUUUAUAAGAUCAGUGAUUAGUUAGAUCUAUGAUUUAAUUAGACUUUCUGAUUUAGCCUAAAAGAAACAGAUGGUUAGGAAAAUUAGUAAAGAUGUUUAGGGACAUGAUUUAGGUUAUUCUACCAAUUGCUCCAAUAAGAGAUGCAGAAAGGGCAAAUACAGGCCCAAAGUCACCUUCUGCUUUGUUAGAUGUGAGAUUUGCAGAGGAUGGAAAAUAAGAACAAGGAAGUUUCAUGCAUUACAGACCCAUGAAUUCUGCCUGUGGAAAAACAGGCUGAUGAUCAAAAACAAUAAUUAUGUCACUACACCUAAGGUUAGGCCUGAGUUCCUUGGUCAUGUAACUUAGAGUUAGUCACAGGCCCCAGUGUGCACCUUGAAAAGACAAAGUUGUGAAAGGAAAUUAUUGUGUGUAAAGGAAAAUAGAUGGUGAACUGACCACUCAUUUAAAGUUUCUCUAGAGUAAAGAAUGGAAAUCUGUUCCACUGAAAUUGCAAACAGCUACCUGCCAGUACAAAAGGAACUGGUUGAAUUACACUUAGCUUGCUUAAAACUUUGUCAACCGGUAAUAAAAGAAUCAUUGCUUUGGGGUGAAGAUGUUAUGGUGGGAAAAUGAAUACAAAGAAAAAUGUUUAACUGCUUGUGGGAUUCUAAGGAAAGCAUGUAACUUGUGAUCUUAAUGUGAUUUCUUCUUACAUAAAGCUUUUAACUUGUUUUUGGAAAGUAUGUAACUAAUGGUUGUGAGGUGAUCUUUUUUGUGUUGAAAUCUGUAUUGGGAGGUAUAAAGGGAUAAGAAAAAAUAAGAAAUAGAAUCGGAAGGGAAGGAAUAAUGGGAAAAAUCAGGGGAAAGGUAGAAAAAUAAAAGUGAAAUAACUGGGAAGAAAAAGAAAAACAGCAGAUAAAAGAAGAAAACACAGAAGACAGGGAGAAGGAAGAACAACCAACAGAGAAGAAAAUAAAGUGAAGAAUUCGUCUUUGGUAAAGACUAAUAAAGUUCAGAUAAAGUUCCUCUGCUUGUGUCUGCCUCUGUUCCAAUAGCUGGUCCAGUCCACACCUCCUCAGUUUCUCUGACCUGUUGAGAGCCCGCUGGGGGCUGGGCCCCUAGUCAGCAGCCACUAGGCUCCAUGCCCUCCUCUGGCCAUGGGAGACAGGGAACCAGACUAAAGCCUGUGAGUGCCGAGUGUGGACGGGAAUGGUCUGAGAAGCUGCAGCUCCUAACAAGGCUGCAGCCAAACCCUCCUGGCUUUUCCUGCUGGACUGCCCUGUUCAGUCCCCUUCUCCACUCCUUUGUGCAAGUCCUGAGCCCUAUUCAUCUCCAGGCUAGUGGACCUCAGGGGUCCCAGGAGAAGGGCUGGGAUCUCACUGUCUGAAUGGUUUCCAGUUCAUACUCCUUGAAGUUUUACACAUCCUGUGUCCACCCUGGGCCUCUGAGAACCUUGUUUUAUUGCCUUAGGGUAUAUAGAUCAUGAACAGUUGGUGGGCCUCAAUUCAUUGGAGUUCAAUAAAGAACAGGUGGAUGAAGGAGAGGCCAGGGUAUAGAAGCAGGAGGCAUAAAAAAUACAAGGCUAUAGAGAGUUUCAGAAGGAGCACGUGGAACCUGUUUCUAGUACCAGAGUAAAGACUAGGAGUGAGACUUGGUACAGAAGUCUCCACAUCAAAAACUGGCUGGAGUCACUUGGGUUUCAGUCUGAGAUUCGGCCCUAGGCUGUGGACUGGCAGAGACGUUAGACCUGGGAGGGCUACGGGUCAUGAUUUGCUUUCCAUUUCAGUUCAUGUCCAAAUCCCAUGGGUGGGAAGGACAGGGCUAUGUCUGUGACAGUGAUUGCUUUAGCUGUCAUUGGAAUUCUGUCUAGACAAUGUAUGAUGCCCUGCUGGCUGCUCCGAUGGUAUGUGUCAUAGUGGAGCCCGUAGGCUCGUAUGUUUGAAUGGUUGGAGCCCUGGUAGCAGAACAGUUUGAGAAGGCUUGGGAGGUGUAUGGCCUUGUUGGGGGAGGUGUGUCACUGGGAGUGGGCUUAGGAGUUUCAAAAGCCCAACCAAGGCCUACCCUACUCCUGCAACUUGCAGAUCACCUGGGAGCUCUCAGCUACCUCUCCAGCACCAUGUCUGACUGCCUGCUUCUUUCCUCCUCCCCCGAGCUGAAGGUAAGGAAGGAAACUCUCCCAUCUGCUCUGAGACUGGAGCUCCUGUCCCCUGAGGCUUCCUCCUCAGCAGGGAGCAGCUGGAAUAUUUACUAUGUGUCCAUGAAACGGGGAAGAGUGCUCCUGGGUACCCUGACUCAGUAUGAGGGAGGGACCCUCCAGAGGGUCACACUUCUCUCAGGACAGUUCAGUAUGUCAAUGAAGCAGCAGAUCCCUUCCAUUUGCAUUGUGAACCAUAGCCUCUCUCGGGUCUGUUCACUGUCCACACACAAUGGCAUUGAAGGUCUGACUCCAGGGUUGCUGAGUAUCUUUAUUCACCUGUACCAGCACCACCACACCCCUACCUCCCCAACCCAGACAGAACCAGAAGUCUAUUUGCUUAGAAGGAGAUCCAGAGUCUCCUGCGCUGUGCUGGCUCAUACUGAUCCUGAAAUUUCCCAAGAAAUGGAUUAUCCAGAUACUGACUUUGGGCUGCUGUGUGGUGUCUGCACCAUUUCUCCAGCAUGGUUCUCCCAUCAUUACUAGGGAUGGUCCCAUCAGCCCUGCUGGAUCCUCAGGAAAAAUGCUAAAUGUCUGGAUUUCUAAUUCGUCUCUCCAGACUAGCACCUCUCUAAACACUUGUGACCCAUGAACUCAAAUCUGAAGGAAAAUCAUCCUGAGCAGCCCUAGGCUGCUACCUGCUGAGAUCACCCUGAGCUGGCAGAGAGAUGGGAAAUACCAGACUCAGGAUAUAGAGUUGAUGAUACCAGACCUGCAGGAGACAGAACUUUCCAGAAGUAGGCAACUGUGGUGCUGCAUUCUGCAGGUUAGCCUAGAUAUACAUGUCAUGUGAACCAUGAGGGGCUGCAUGCGUCUCUCACCCUGAGAUGGGUAAAGACUGCCUAUGAGCACAAAACCCGCUCACAGAGAAGGUGGGAGCCCCUUGAGAGACCUGGGGCAGGAUCAGGACUGAGAGAUGGAGGUUAGAGACCUCACUCUUACUUCUGUGUCCUAGUCAGAGGCUCCUCAGCACGCCAUCUCCAUCACGGCAACUGUUUUUGUCCACAUUCUUGGAGCAGUGGUUAUGGGAGUUUGGUCUUUUUUUAUGACUAAAGAAAGGGAAUGAAGAUAAGGAAUGGUCAGGGUCCUGUUUUUCUUCCCUUGGGAUUUCAAGCCUAACCUUAGUAUGUGCUCUGUCCAUAAGAGGAAAUUCACAUACAAGUGCUUACUCAGCCUGGGACCUACAUGAAAUACAUAGAAAAUAAUGUGCAGAGUCAUUGCCCUGAUGAUGGAGGUGAUGGACUCCCGACUCCCUGAAGCCUGGGGUUAGAGAGAAAGGAAGGUGCUGCUGAGAACAGACCUGCAGAAGACAGUUGGUCCAGUCCACAUUCUCUGUUCCAUCUUGUCUCCUUCCCUCCCUUGGAUCUGCAGUCACAGUUCUCAAAACAACCUGGGGUAAGGACCAGGGGCUUCCUUGUGACCCUCAUGACCCUACUGCCUCCCUGGAUUCUUACAGGAUGUUUUCUACCCACAGAUCAAUGUUGGAACAGUUAUGAUCAGGCUGCAGGUAAGUAUGGUAGGGGCUGCUUCCAGGGACCCUUAUGGUUUCAUUGACUGGAGCCCUGGAAGAACUCAUCCACCUCAUAUCUCUUCAAUAUCCUGUGGGCUUUGACUAGGACCUCUUAGGAUUUUAUUCGGUAGGAAGAGUACCUAGAAUACAUGGGCUUCUCUCACAGCUUUAAAGAGGUGAGUCGGUGGGAUUGUGGAAUAGGCAGAGGACAGAGACCCUAUCCUGACUCUCAGUUAUUGGGACAGUUUGAAUGUGUGAUGGGAUGAUCUAAGUGUCACUACUCACAGAGACUGGUCUGAAUUUUUUUCCCUAAUUAUUGUCUACUGCAGGUGGAGACAGCUGCCUUGUGUGGAACUGAGCCAUAGAGAUUCUGGAUUCCCCAUUUUCUACUGUGAGUUCGGGAACUCCAGACUUCUCAUUCUGCAGCCCACAUUGGCUGUGUCCAAGUGCCAGUCUCUUAAACACCUAAUGCAAAAACGUGAGACCCACAGCCCAACCAUGUGUCUCUUCCCCAGUGUGCUCUCCAGCAGAGGCAAAACUGGGACCUUUCCAUCCCUGACUGCACUUUACUGUCAUUGAGGAGUACAGUUGUCUGGUGAAGUCAGAAGAGGGCACCAGAAACCAUGGACUUGGAGUUGAGCAUCUUGUGGGUUGGGAAGCCUGGUUGGUCUCUGUCACUUCUACUGGGAAUUCUUAGAAAAUCCAGUCAACUUACCCUGAUCAGUGUUAUAAAGGGGAUAAUGACCACUCUGGACUCAAUCUAUACAAUUCAUUAAGGAUGAAGACCUCUUUACUCUUGGCUCUCUUCCUGGUGCUGGCAGCCAAUCUGGCCUUCACUCAGACACGGGCAACUGAGAGCACGUCCUGAGAGGAACAGCAUCUGUCUGAAGCACCCAGGGUUCUGUGCAGCAUCACCACAGUCAAGGAGAAGCCUAGCCUUGUUCUACCCCAAUCAGACCUGCCUGUCUCCCCUACCAGACAGCCCUUCUGAAUCCCAGGAGGAGGGUGCAGUCCUACUGCUCACUCCCCUCAGGCUCACACUGGCUAUGCUAUUUCUGUACCUUACCUCUUAGGUUGGCCUCCUGCAGCCUUGGUUGCAUGGUUGGCACUCAGAACAUGGGCAAAAAAAAAAACGGGGAAAGCAAAAUUAUGAGAAUGGCGUUAUAAUGCCCAGACAUCUGUCCAGUGUCUCCCUAUGACACCAGGUUGAGCCUCCACAGAUCCCCAAGACUGAAGCAUCAGUACAAUACCAUGGACACUUUGUGGGGGGACUGUGGUAUUUUGAAUACGCAUGACCCCCAUAUGCUCAUAUAUUUGAAUAUUUGGUCAUGAGGGAGUGGCACUACUUGAAAGGAUUAGGAGGUGUGGCCUUGUUGGAGGAUGUGUGUCACUUGUUGGGAUUUCUUUUGAUUGCCAUUAGUAUAGUAGAGCCUUGUACAUCCCUUAUAGUAUGUACUUUUUAAUCUGUUCAUUUAGUUUUUUAGUUUUAAUAACUAUCUCUGGAGAUAGUUUUUCAGAAUGUAGCCCAGGUUGAUCUUGAACUGGCAACAGUUCUUUAGACAAAGCAUCCACUGUGGUGCGAUUGAAGACAUGUUGUAACACCUGGGACUGUCAGAAACCAGAGUUUGACUCUAACAACCUCAGUGUGAAUGCCACAGAGAUCCAUGGCAGGACAAUGACAGAAACACUCCCCCCUGCCUUCAGUGACCCAGACACACAGAAGAGAAUGACCCAAACCCAAACACAGCACUGAGAACAAGGGUCAUUCCUGCAGAGCCACGGAUCGAAACACCUCUUGAUGGAAUAUCAGACUCAAGCCUGCACAGGCUGACUGCCAACACGAAAGAACAGCACAGACACUGGAAAAGGACCUGAGAGUGUCCGGGACUUUUUGACCAUAUUCUGGUGAAACGUGUUUAUUGAAGGAAUAGGGCUGAGGUACUAGCAAUAAAACAGAGGUGAGAGGUGGUAAUGUGAAAGCCGAGGGUGGACUGAGAAACAGUUCCAUAUCCCAGGCCGCAUGGCUCCACACAGCCUGGAACUGUCAUUAUAGGCAAUGGAAUUAACACAAUAAACACAAAUGCUAUAAGAUUCAGAGUCUUAAUUUUCUCCAUCUAGUUUUACUCAUGUUUAGUACACAAAUCAAUCACCUAGCCUGAUGAGAAGCCGUACAACCCUAAACAAAUUUGCACUUUCAAGAAAGAAGCAUGAAGUGUAGCCAGCUGGUGUUGGAACUGGGGAGAUGAAUGGAAAAGAUACACAGUAAGUGUGGGGAUGGGGAUUGUUGCUGAUCAGGGCUGGACCGAACGCAUCACCUGCUUACAUUGUGCUCACAUAAGGGACACAUAAUCAGAGUCAGAUGCAGAAAGGGAAGGAACCAGUUCUUAAAGCCACAGUGGGAAAACAAGAAACCAGAACAAUUCCUGUAUGGCUCAGUACCACAUGAAGACAGCUGUCUUAUCCUGUAGAAGAAAAGAACAAGGAAGUAACCCAGAUCAGUGUCUUAAAUGGUGACAUUCCGAAUAGCCCAUCACACACUCAGACUGUCCCAAUCCCAAGUGUCCACAUACCCCAGGGUUCUAUCCUCUGACCUCUCCCUUUCUAACAUCAGGCCUUUUAGGGUGUCACUUUUUAAAGCCGUAACAGAAGACUGGACAUCCUAGGAACUUUACUGCCCAGGGGAAAGUGAUACAAGAGCAGAUCAAAGCCUCUGAAGAUGGAGCUAAACGAGGAGGUAUGGGCUGGCUGAGAACCUCCGUGAGAUCCUGUAUACACUGCCCCAGGUGUCUCAGGGGUGAUUCCCCCCUUUGUAAUUACUGGCAAGUCUGAACAUAGAUGUUUCUUUUAACCCCUGGGAAUAAUCCCUUUUCUUAGAGCUCAUGGAUGCAGCAAGAUCUAGUUGGCUUGGAGACAUCUCCUGAUUCUUAUCUCAGAGUUCUCAUCUCAGGGAAGUUUGCAGAAGUGUGACUGCAGAUCCAGAGAAAGAUGA